rnacentral:rRNA from 1 species
GACAGAGGGUGCAAACGUUGCUCGGAAUUACUGGGCGUAAAGGGCGCGUAGGCGGCUUAACAAGUCACUUGUGAAAUCUCCGGGCUUAACUCGGAACGGCCAAGUGAAACUGUCAAGCUAGAGUGCAGAAGGGGGCAAUCGGAAUUCUUGGUGUAGCGGUGAAAUGCGUAGAUAUCAAGAGGAACACCUGAGGUGAAGACGGGUUGCUGGGCUGACACGUGACGCUGAGGCGCGAAGGCCAGGGGAGCAAACGGG